UACGUAGGGUGCGAGCGUUGUCCGGAAUUACUGGGCGUAAAGAGCUCGUAGGUGGUUUGUCGCGUUGUUCGUGAAAACCGGGGGCUUAACCCUCGGCGUGCGGGGGAUACGGGCAGACUUGAGUACUGCAGGGGAGACUGGAAUUCCUGGUGUAGCGGUGGAAUGCGCAGAUAUCAGGAGGAACACCGGUGGCGAAGGCGGGUCUCUGGGCAGUAACUGACGCUGAGGAGCGAAAGCGUGGGGAGCAAACAGG
rnacentral:rRNA from 1 species